UGAAGAGUUGAGAAUAUUGGUAUUAUUUUUCCAUAUUCACGGGUCAUCGUUUUACACAUGUAAGUUUGGUAAAACCACUGCAGUGUGCAAGACACGUGGUAUGGGAUGGCCGUCUUCCGGCUGGCGUAUAGAUAUGAUCCUUAUAUUCCCGAUUGAUUAAGUUUAAAUCAAACUUCUAAAUAGUUAUUUGCAAUAAUAAGCCAUCGAUGUCAGAAUCCAACGAAACAAAAGUAGAUAAAAUAAAAUAGAACUUUCGUCCUCCAACAAAAUUAUAAGCUAUACGAUGUGUAUAUUUCAAAUGUUUUAAGAAGAAACGAAGAAAAAAAUUCAUGACAUUAAAAGUUACUAGCAGACUUAGCACUAUGAUGUAUUCAAUUUGGGUAGCUGAAUUUGUUCAUAUUAUACCAUCAAAUUUUCUUUUACCAUAUCGUGAAAGGACAGUCAAAAGAAAUACUUAACAAGUUUGGGAGGUUUGCUCUUAAUGAGAAAUCAAGUGUUGACAUUACAUGUGUCUGGGUUGAGAUAUAGGGUCAUACUCGUUACUUUCCUCUCCUUUACAUACAUUUGAUUUUUGGUGAUAAUGUGUUUUACAUUACAUUGUGGUUUGCUUUAACGAUUUUAGUAUUUAAUCUUGAGACGACGGAAAUCAUUGGUAUACAUACUAAAGCAACGACGGAGGUAUCAUCAAUUUUGAUAUAAAAGUUGUCAACGACGUUGUCGGUACAUAACAG